GAUCCUGGCUCAGGAUGAACGCUGGCGGCGUGCCUAACACAUGCAAGUCGAGCGAAGCACUUUGCUUAGAUUCUUCGGAUGAAGAGGAUUGUGACUGAGCGGCGGACGGGUGAGGUAACGCGUGGGUAACCUGCCUCAUACAGGGGGAUAACAGUUAGAAAUGACUGCUAAUACCGCAUAAGACCACAGCACCGCAUGGUGCGGGGGGUAAAAACUCCGGUGGUAUGAGAUGGACCCGCG
rnacentral:rRNA from 1 species